rnacentral:lncRNA from 1 species
CAAGCAAUCUUGUUGGGAGUGUUUUCUCGAAUGUGAGUAAAGGUUGGGCAUGUUUGCUAGUCUACCUUGCCACGAAGCACAGAGGUUGACACACAGGAACUUUCCAAUUAUCCAGCAAUGGUACUGUUCCUUUACCCUUGUGGGUAAUAAUAUGGUAGCUAGACCUUCAAAAUUUAUGUGUCUAAACUUUGUUAGUGCUGUUUCUUUGCUAUUCUUUUACCUUUCUUGGUCAGAGCGAUGUAGUGGGAGCUGCAAGCUUCACGUGCUCAACUUUGGCAGAGAACUUUGGCAAAGUUAUCUGUGGUACCCAUGAGCUAUUGUUGCGUGUGGGAAGUGGGUGAUUGAACAGUAAGAUUCAUGUGCUUUCUACUUCACCAGAAGUCUUCGACAGAAUGCCCAUAAUUUCCGCAAAGCUGAGUGUGCGUGUGACAGGUGCUGACAAGGCUAGAAUAGUAGGUGCCUCUUCGAUUUCUGAGAUCGGCCCUCGUGGUCUCUGAGCAGCCCAGCUUUUGAGAAAGCGAGCGCCUCUUCGAUUGAUUCGGAGAACGAUGCCUCAUCGAUUUUUGAGAAAGCAAUCAUGCUGGGGGUCUGGCUCUCGAAGAUUCGGGGAGCAGUGUCUCUUCGAUUUUUGAGAAAGUAAUCAUGUUGGGAGUCUGGCUCUCGAGAUUCGGAGGACGGUGCCUUUUCGAUUUUGGAGCAAGCAAUCUUGUUGGGAGUGUUUUCUCGAAUGUGAGUAAAGGUUGGGCAUGUUUGCUAAUCUACCUUGCCACGAAGCACAGAGGUUGACACACAGGGACUUUCCAAUUAUCCAGCAAUGGUACUGUUCCUUUACCCUCUUCGAUUUUUAAGAAAGUAGUCAUGUUGGGAGUCUGGCUCUCGAGAUUCGGAGGACGGUGCCUCUUCGAUUUUGGAGCAAGCAAUCUUGUUGGGAGUGUUUUCUCGAAUGUGAGUAAAGGUUGGGCAUGUUUGCU